UACGUAGGGGGCAAGCGUUGUCCGGAUUUAUUGGGCGUAAAGAGCGUGUAGGCGGCUAGGUAGGUCCGUUGUGAAAACUCGAGGCUUAACCUCGAGCUGUCGGCGGAAACCAUCUGGCUAGAGUCCGGAAGAGGAGAAUGGAAUUCCCGGUGUAGCGGUGAAAUGCGCAGAUAUCGGGAAGAACACCCGUGGCGAAGGCGGUUCUCUGGGACGGUACUGACGCUGAGACGCGAAAGCGUGGGGAGCGAACAGG
rnacentral:rRNA from 1 species